CGGUCUCAGUUCGGAUUGAAGGCUGAAAUUCGCCUUCAUGAAGUCGGAAUUGCUAGUAAUGGCAGGUCAGCAUACUGCCGUGAAUACGUUCCCGGGCCUUGUACACACCGCCCGUCACACCAUGAGAGUUGGGAAUACCCGAAGCCUGUCGAGCCAACAAACGAGGCAGCAGUCGAAGGUAGAAUCAAUGAUUGGGGUGAAGUCGUAACAAGGUAAC
rnacentral:rRNA from 1 species